UCUUGGCUCUCAUGGCCCAGAGAUCCUUACAGUUUUGCCUGCCUGGAACAAGGUGGGAUGCCACCCAGGCCCAUCCAUGCAGCCUAAGAGGUGCCAAGAUAUUGGCGCUCACUGAACAAGAGCCAAAGAGCCAGCUUCGGAAGAAUCAAGGCAAACCUCCUAGGCCUGACUAGAAGUUUGUAUGAACUCUGCAGAUGAUGAAGAACACCUCCCAGAAUCGUGCAAGGGGGAUCAUUGGCAGGCAAGUUAACAAGGAAAGCUUCUCUGAUGGAGUGCUUCAGCUGAGGGCCAGACUGUUGUUGGUGUCCGUCUUUGGAGAAAAUAGAGGAGUACGCCUUUGGCAGUGAAGUCAAUCUGUUGGAAGCCUGCUGUGGCUGUGCAGACCAAGAUAGGAGAGACAAAUACCUCACAGCUCCUGGUUGGGAAGAAAGGCAGCAUAGACAUCAAAUGAAUAAUAUCAGUAACAAUAAUAAUGGCAUGCGGAAGUCUGCAGGCCACAUGGGACAUAUGCCUGCAUGGCACAGAUGGAUGGAGCAGGUCCUUUUGUACAGUAUUGCAUAGGUGCCAUGAUCUCGGGAGUCUCCCUGAAUCUGAAGGUGAUAAGACAGACCACCGUGAAACAUCUCAGCCUGUGAAAUGGGAAUGAUUACCAUCUACUUCCUUCUUACCAUGUUGUCCAGCAAAAGAGGCUCCCCUCUGCGGUACCCGAUUUUGUAGGCUUCGGCCCUAUACCCACUGACGUGGAAGAAAGCCACUGAGUUCCGUGGGAUUUACUCCAAGGUGAGAGAAAGAGUCCAACGGAGGGACUGAGAAUUUUCGAGGUGGUGCAAGAGAUGGGCGUUGGGAAUACAAAUAGUUCUCGGCAGCGCCAUUUGGACAGAACGCUUCCUCGGGGUCUUAGGAGUCUGGCUGUGACUUUGUUUUCACCUUCUUAUAAGAAUAAAAAUGAAUCGGCAGCCAGCCAUGA